CCUACGGGUGGCAGCAGUGGGGAAUAUUGCACAAUGGGUGAAAGCCUGAUGCAGCAACGCCGCGUGAGCGAUGAAGGUCUUCGGUUUGUAAAGCUCUGUCCUCAAGGAAGAUAAUGACGGUACUUGACGAGGAAGCCCCGGCUAACUACGUGCCAGCAGCCGCGGUAAUACGUCGGGGGCUAGCGUUAUCCGGAUUUACUGGGCGUAAAGGGGGCGUAGGUGGUUUCUUAAGUCAGCGGUGAAAGGCUACGGCUCAACCGUAGGGAGCCUUUGAAAAUGGGGGGCUUGAGUGGAGGAGAGGCGAGUGGAAUUCCUAGUGUAGCGGUGAAAUGCGUAGAUAUUAGGAGGAACACCAGUUGCGAAGGCGGCUCACUGGACUGUAACUGACGCUGAGGCACGAAAGCGUGGGGGGCGAACAGGAUUAGAUACCCGUGUAGUC
rnacentral:rRNA from 1 species